ACGCUCGACACCUACAGGAGGCAGCAGUAGGGAAUCUUCCACAAUGGACGCAAGUCUGAUGGAGCAACGCCGCGUGAGUGAAGAAGGUUUUCGGAUCGUAAAGCUCUGUUGUUGGUGAAGAAGGAUAGAGGUAGUAACUGGCCUUUAUUUGACGGUAAUCAACCAGAAAGUCACGGCUAACUACGUGCCAGUAGCCGCGGUAAUCUGAGCGGGCUGGCAAGGC
rnacentral:rRNA from 1 species